AUUAGAUACCCGGGUAGUCCCAGCCGUAAACAAUGUGCGUUAGGUGUGUCGGUAACCACGCGUUACUGAUGCGCCGAAGAGAAAUCGUGAAACGCACCACCUGGGAAGUACGGUCGCAAGGCUGAAACUUAAAGGAAUUGGCGGGGGAGCACCACAACAGGUGGAGCCUGCGGUUUAAUUGGAUUCAACGCCGGACAUCUCACCGGAUAAGACAGCUGUAUGAUUGUCAAUCUGAAGGUUUUACAUGACUAGCUGAGAGGAGGUGCAUGGC
rnacentral:rRNA from 1 species